rnacentral:tRNA from 1 species
GGAGAAAUAGCUCAGAUGGUAGAGCACCGGACUGAAAAUCCGGGUUAGCAGGGGCUCGAUUCCUUUUUUCUCCA